GCGAAUGCUGACAUAAGUAACGAUAAAGCGGGUGAAAAGCCCGCUCGCCGGAAGACCAAGGGUUCCUGUCCAACGUUAAUCGGGGCAGGGUGAGUCGACCCCUAAGGCGAGGCCGAAAGGCGUAGUCGAUGGGAAACAGGUUAAUAUUCCUGUACUUGGUGUUACUGCGAAGGGGGGACGGAGAAGGCUAUGUUGGCCGGGCGACGGUUGUCCCGGUUUAAGCGUGUAGGCUGGUUUUCCAGGCAAAUCCGGAAAAUCAAGGCUGAGGCGUGAUGACGAGGCACUACGGUGCUGAAGCAACAAAUGCCCUGCUUCCAGGAAAAGCCUCUAAGCAUCAGGUAACAUCAAAUCGUACCCCAAACCGACACAGGUGGUCAGGUAGAGAAUACCAAGGCGCUUGAGAGAACUCGGGUGAAGGAACUAGGCAAAAUGGUGCCGUAACUUCGGGAGAAGGCACGCUGAUAUGUAGGUGAAGUCCCUCGCGGAUGGAGCUGAAAUCAGUCGAAGAUACCAGCUGGCUGCAACUGUUUAUUAAAAACACAGCACUGUGCAAACACGAAAGUGGACGUAUACGGUGUGACGCCUGCCCGGUGC
rnacentral:rRNA from 1 species